UACAUGGGGUGCAAACGUUGCUCGGAAUUAUUGGGCGUAAAGCGCACGUAGGCGGUUUGUUAAGUCGGAUGUGAAAUCCCUCGGCUCAACUGAGGAAGUGCAUCCGAAACUGGCAGGCUUGAGUACUAAAGAGGGUCGCGGAAUUCCCGGUGUAGAGGUGAAAUGCGCAGAUAUCGGAGGAACACCAGUAGCGAAGGCGACACUCUGGGCCGGUACUGACGCUGAGGAGCGAAAGCGUGGGGAGCAAACAGG
rnacentral:rRNA from 1 species